rnacentral:rRNA from 1 species
UUCGGGUUGUAAAGUACUUUCAGCAGUGAGGAAGGUGGAUAUGUUAAUAGCAUAUUCAUUUGACGUUUAGCUGCAGAAGAAGCACCGGCUAACUCCGUGCCAGCAGCCGCGGUAAUACGGAGGGUGCGAGCGUUAAUCGGAAUUACUGGGCGUAAAGCGCAUGCAGGUGGUUUGUUAAGUCAGAUGUGAAAGCCCGGGGCUCAACCUCGGAAUUGCAUUUGAAACUGGCAAACUAGAGUACUGUAGAGGGGGUAGAAUUUCAGGUGUAGCGGUGAAAUGCGUAGAGAUCUGAAGGAAUACCGGUGGCGAAGGCGGCCCCCUGGACAGAUACUGACACUCAGAUGCGAAAGCGUGGGGAGCAAACAGGAUUAGAUACCCUGGUAG